rnacentral:misc_RNA from 1 species
UGCCUCCUCCUACUAAGCCGCCAUUCGUGGAAGAGAAACCCAUUGAAACUCACAACCCUCAGGAGAAGUACUCAAUAAAAGAAGGCGCUUUUGCUACGAUUGCCAACUUAUCUCACAGUUCAUUUUACCCCAGAUGAUGAUAUCCCAAUGCCCUGAAACUGAAGUAUAAAUUAUAGGCAUGAAACUGAAGUAUAAAUUAUAGACAUGAUACAUGUAUAGACACUUUAAAUUGACCUCAACUGGCAACUAACACUCCAACAUGAUCCAAAUCUAAUGUGGAUCUUAGACACUUCUGCUUGCUAGUGAUGGUGAAGAUAUUUUAUAGUGGUCGUGGUGUUGGUGUUGGUGUUGUUAGUGUCUAGUAAUGAUGACGGUGCAUGAUAGUUGUGAUAACAUAGGUGGUGGUUGUUGUUGUGAUGACUGUCAUUGGUAGUGGUGCCGGUGGUUGCAAUGGUGGAGUUGGUUGAUAUUUUUCUUGUGGCAUAAUACAUAAUAUACCCUAUAACUUAGUUU